GGGUUAGUAGGUUGGUCAUGCCUCUGGUAUGUACUGGUCUCACUGAUUCCUCCCUCUUGACGAACUGUAAUGUCAUUAAUUUGGUGUUGCAGGAAAUCAGGACUGUUACUUUGAAAAAAUUAGAGUGUUUAAAGCAGGCUAAGGCUUGAAUACAUUAGCAUGGAAUAAUGAAAUAGGACGUUUGAUCCUAUUUUGUUGGUUUCUAGGAUUGACGUAAUGAUUAAUAGGGAUAGUUGGGGGCAUUAGUAUUCAAUUGUCAGAGGUGAAAUUCUUGGAUUUAUUGAAGACUAACUACUGCGAAAGCAUUUGCCAAGGAUGUUUUCAUUAAUCAAGAACGAAAGUUAGGGGAUCGAAGACGAUCAGAUACCGUCGUAGUCUUAACCAUAAACUAUGCCGACUAGGGAUCGGAUGAUGUUAAUUUUUUAAUGACUCAUUCGGCGCCUUACGGGAAACCAAAGUGUUUGGGUUCCGGGGGGAGUAUGGUCGCAAGGCUGAAACUUAAAGGAAUUGACGGAAGGGCACCACCAGGAGUGGAGCCUGCGGCUUAAUUUGACUCAACACGGGGAAACUCACCAGGUCCAGACAUAGGAAGGAUUGACAGAUUGAGAGC
rnacentral:rRNA from 1 species